rnacentral:rRNA from 1 species
AUUGAACGCUGGCGGCAGGCCUAACACAUGCAAGUCGAGCGGAUGAAGGGAGCUUGCUCCUGGAUUCAGCGGCGGACGGGUGAGUAAUGCCUAGGAAUCUGCCUGGUGGUGGGGGAUAACGUCCGGAAACGGGCGCUAAUACCGCAUACGUCCUGAGGGAGAAAGUGGGGGAUCUUCGGACCUCACGCUAUCAGAUGAGCCUAGGUCGGAUUAGCUAGUUGGUGGGGUAAAGGCCUACCAAGGCGACGAUCCGUAACUGGUCUGAGAGGAUGAUCAGUCACACUGGAACUGAGACACGGUCCAGACUCCUACGGGAGGCAGCAGUGGGGAAUAUUGGACAAUGGGCGCAAGCCUGAUCCAGCCAUGCCGCGUGUGUGAAGAAGGUCUUCGGAUUGUAAAGCACUUUAAGUUGGGAGGAAGGGCAGUAAGUUAAUACCUUGCUGUUUUGACGUUACCAACAGAAUAAGCACCGGCUAACUUCGUG